GGAACGUGUGGAGGACAUGGGUCAAAGCUGCUGGAGCUGAGGCCCCUGGCAAACCCGAGCCCUUUCUGGGGAUUCCUCAGGGAGAAAUAAGCUUCUCUGUUGUUUGGACUGUUCCACCGAAAACGAAGCCUUUGUAGUUGGAGCAGUUCCACGGAACUGUGCUAGACGAGGUAGCCCAACCCCAGUUCUUCCCUCCCUGCAGUAGAAUUUCACACCUCCCUCCUGGCCAGGGCCUCGGGUGGGUGGGCAGUUCCUCCCCUUGACUUCAGACUUGGCAGCGUGAUGCCCUGGGGCCAGUGGGUUGUGGGCACAUGUGAAGCGAGCAGAGGCUCAGAAGGCUCUAGCGGGUCUGUGUAGACUGCGUGCUAAUGGGAAGCCACUGGCCCCAGGAGGGGGAGGGAGCCCCCAGGGCAGGGCUGGCCCUUCCCCCCGCAGCAUCCACCCUCUGAGCCUGAGUGUGAGCAUCGAAGUGAGGGCCGUUUAAGCCUCUGCACUUCGGAGUGGUUUGUUAUGCAGCAUUGCUGUGGUAACAGCUGACUAAUACGCCCCGCCUAACAGAAACGCCUGGUACCCGGGGAGCUGGUGUGACAAAACCCAAUAGUAUGUGGCGUUAGCUUAGUGGUUGGCUUGCGGAUGGCAGGGAAACGGAUAUGGUGAGCUGGAAAUGAUGACAUGCUUCCCUUGUUGUGCCAUGCCUAAACACGAGGGAAAUCUGGGGAGGCGACAGCAAAGUGCCAGAAGUUCCUGGGCCAGCGAUCCAACCUGAGCCACGGCUGUAUUAACACCGGAUCCUUCACCCACGGAGCCGCCAGGA
rnacentral:lncRNA from 1 species